rnacentral:rRNA from 1 species
AGUGAACGCUGGCGGUAGGCCUAACACAUGCAAGUCGAACGGCAGCACAGAGGAGCUUGCUCCUUGGGUGGCGAGUGGCGGACGGGUGAGGAAUACAUCGGAAUCUACUCUGUCGUGGGGGAUAACGUAGGGAAACUUACGCUAAUACCGCAUACGACCUACGGGUGAAAGCAGGGGAUCUUCGGACCUUGCGCGAUUGAAUGAGCCGAUGUCGGAUUAGCUGAGUUGGCGGGGUAAAGGCCCACCAAGGCGACGAUCCGCAGCUGGUCUGAGAGGAUGAUCAGCCACACUGGAACAGAGACACGGCCCAGACUCCUACGGGAGGCAGCAGUGGGGAAUAUUGGACAAUGGGCGCAAGCCUGAUCCAGCCAUACCGCGUGGGUGAAGAAGGCCUUCGGGUUGUAAAGCCCUUUUGUUGGGAAAGAAAUCCAUCUGGUUAAUACCCGGGUGGGAUGACGGUACCCAAAGAAUAAGCACCGGCUAACUUCGUGCCAGCCGCCGCCGUAA